ensembl:snoRNA
AACAUCCUGGUGCUUACCAUUGGCUGUGUUCUUAUAUUGUACAGAAUGAGGCAGCAGAGUAACCUACCCUAUAUAUACCUCAGACAAUAAUUUGUACCUGGUAUUAUAAAUGGAGAGACAUGG